UACAGAGGUGGCAAGCGUUAUUCGGAAUUAUUGGGCGUAAAGGGCGCGUAGGCGGCUUGGCAAGUGGAAGGUGAAAUCCCUCGGCUUAACCGAGGAACUGCCUUCCAGACUGCUUUGCUUGAGGCCGGGAGAGGUGAGUGGAAUUCCCAGUGUAGCGGUGAAAUGCGUAGAUAUUGGGAGGAACACCAGUGGCGAAGGCGGCUCACUGGACCGGUUCUGACGCUGAGGCGCGAAAGCGUGGGGAGCAAACGGG
rnacentral:rRNA from 1 species